GCCAAUGCGUUGAUCGAGAGAAGUAGUCAAAGUGUUCGGUUCCAGAGAGCGGCGCACGGUGGAAGCCCGCACAGGAGCUUUGGCGAAUAACACUCGGGAGCGGCGAACCCAAAGCCAUACGGCCGGUAGGGGAGACGGGAAGCGCCCGUUACAGCGUGAGGAGUUUUUUGACUCCGAAAAGGGACUGCCUAUGGGCAGUAAAUUAGGUGGCACCGCGGAUUGCAGCUAUUCGUCCUAUAU
rnacentral:ncRNA from 1 species